rnacentral:rRNA from 1 species
AUGCUCGCUGACGGUGGCAUCCAGGACGACGAUGCGCUCGGGGACAACAACUACCACCCGCACGAAGGCAUUCCUGCGGAGGGCAGCGUCCAGCAGGGCGACGUCGUCCGCCUAUAUGAUGGCGUGCCCACGGAGGACUGUGUCCACCAAGACAGCGAGUUGUUGUACGGACGCCACAUCCUCGGCCAUGCCGUUCAGGAGGUUUGCUGCCUUGCACAGCCGACGAUGGUGACUAUGUGGCGCAUACAGACGGCCAACAUGCGCGCAGACGAUGGCCACGGCAUGGCGCAGGCCAAUGUCCAGCACUCGCACGCCUCGCGAAGUCGAGGAAUCUACGGACUCCGCCAGGUUCCCGUGGAUGACGACCACGUCAUUGUCAUUGUUGUUAUGGAGGACGAUCACCAUGAGCAGGCCAGUGAUGGCGAGACGUAUUGCACGCGGGCAGCCAGCAUGCGGGUGCCAAUGAUGGCCACUGCAUGGCGCAAGUCGACAGCCACCACCACUUGCACACAGGCGUCCACUACUUGCGCCGCUGCUCUUGCUGGCCUUCUCUGUGUUGUGUACUCUUUCCUUCUUAAUAUACUUGCAUGCAAUUCUCCUGCAUGUUCUCAGAAAAAAUGA